rnacentral:rRNA from 1 species
AUCUGGCUCAGGAUGAACGCUAGCGACAGGCCUAACACAUGCAAGUCGAGGGGCAACAUGGUAUCAGCUUGCUGAUACCGAUGGCGACCGGCGCACGGGUGAGUAACGCGUAUGUAAUCUACCUGUAACAGAGGGAUAACCCGGAGAAAUCCGGACUAAUACCUCAUAGCACAUAUUAUUCGCAUGAAUUUUAUGUUAAAGAGACUCGGUUACAGAUGAACAUGCGUUCCA